UAGUUGUUUCUUUAGGUAUAGCUGUAGCAGUCGAUUUGGUGUGGUUUAUCUUUUUAAUCUGAAUGCAUUUUGUUUCAAAAAAUAUUGGGAAUUGAAAACUUAUAAACUAAAGUAAGAAUACUUGAAAAAACUGGGAGGAUUAUUAUGAGACAAUUAAGAUAAUGCCUUUACCAAGUUAAGAAUAUGACGGUUGUUUUCCAUUCGUUCUGCUAUUUGAUGUGCUUUAGCGUUUGGUUUUGCCAGAUGUUUAUGAAAUUUCCCCGCUUUUUAAAAUUUUUCA